rnacentral:rRNA from 1 species
AUUGAACGCUGGCGGCAUGCCUUACACAUGCAAGUCGAACGGCAGCACGGGAGCAAUCCUGGUGGCGAGUGGCGAACGGGUGAGUAAUACAUCGGAACGUGCCCAAUCGUGGGGGAUAACGCAGCGAAAGCUGUGCUAAUACCGCAUACGAUCUACGGAUGAAAGCAGGGGACCGCAAGGCCUUGCGCUCACGGAGCGGCCGAUGGCAGAUUAGGUAGUUGGUGGGAUAAAAGCUUACCAAGCCGACGAUCUGUAGCUGGUCUGAGAGGACGACCAGCCACACUGGGACUGAGACACGGCCCAGACUCCUACGGGAGGCAGCAGUGGGGAAUUUUGGACAAUGGGCGCAAGCCUGAUCCAGCCAUGCCGCGUGCAGGAUGAAGGCCUUCGGGUUGUAAACUGCUUUUGUACGGAACGAAAAGGCUCUGGUUAAUACCUGGGGUCCAUGACGGUACCGUAAGAAUAAGCACCGGCUAACUACGUGCCAGCCGCCGCGGUAACAC